ensembl:ncRNA K08A8.6 ncRNA
AUGAACUUCGUCGGACACACCUGUCUGGAGACAGGGGACCCGUUCGGAAUUGAAUAUUCUAGUAUUUUGAUGCUAGAAGAAUCAACAAACACUUACUGUAUUGGAAAGAAUUUUGAUGAGCAGUUUUGUUCAAUCAGAAGUUUUUUACAG